GGAGCUAGAUCACGUUUCACAAUUAGUGGUGGUUCUUUUCCAUGUUUGUUUUGCACUUUAAAAAAGAGAGAACACAUGCAAAUGAACUUGCUUGUGUGUAUUUGAUGGCUCCAAGGGCUAUAAAUUACAAACAAAACACAUCCCAGACAUUAGGAGUUCAUAAGUAUAUUUAAUGAAAUUGGUGGUUUUAGGAAGUCAACUUUAGUUUUGCUUUGUUUGCAUGUCCACUAAUUUUUUUAUUUUGAUAUUAGUCUUUUUUAAAAAAUUUUACAGUAGUCAUUGAAAGUUAUGUUUCUUUGUUUACUUCAUUUUUUCCUCUAAAUAUUCAAGACUGGGACAAAAGUAUAAAUAUUAUUUAUUUCAGGUAGAAUUUUUUUGGUGUAGUUUUUUAAUAUAUACUUGAAGGAAAUGUUUCACCUUAUUUUUGGUCUUUGUUUAUUCAUUUAGACCCUGCAAGUUGAUUCUCAUUAAUUGUCAGAUUCCACUACACUUUCUUCCUCAUAGGUAGUAAUUACCAGUGUAACUAAGCAUUUGUGUUCUGAUAUCUGAGGCCAGUAACUAUUAAUAUCUAGUUCUCAGAGCAUUUGGAAAGGUUAUCUUAAAUGGCUACCUAAAUUGAAAUCCUUUUCAGAAAAAAUAUAAUUGCAAAUAGGUAGGAGUGGCCUAAAUUAUCUAAUGUAAUAAAGUCAGACAAAAUGCAUACUUUAUAGUUCAAGAUUUUCGGUAUAUAAAAUCUGUCCUUUCCUACCUGGACAUGUCCCAUUAAAAAGUGGAAGAUUUUAAAUAAUUUCUUUACAGAUGUUUUAUUUAAGCAGGUAGCACAAUCUACUAAUGUUGUUUGAUCUGUGUUUGUUAUACUGGUUGUAAUUAAUUUUUUUAAUUCAUGAACUAGCGGAAAAUUUAUUAAAUUAACUAUUAACCACAUUCACCUUGUAAAUGACUGUAUAAAACUUGUUGACAAUGCACUGACUUUAGAAAGAUGUUAAUGUGCAUAAAUAGAGUGUAAAUAAAAUAGUGUUGAUGUACUGAAAUAUGAACUGUAUAAAAAGUAUUAGUAAUUGUAUAUGGGGUGUACCUGUUUAUCUGUAACUGUUAUCCAA
rnacentral:lncRNA from 1 species